GUCAUCAUUACUCACGGAGAGCAUCCACGAAUAAUGCUAUCGGGCAAUGGAGAAUUCUCCUUUACAUCCACAGGGGCAGGAGGGAAUAGAUUGAAUCGUCUUAAAAGCCUUUUCAGGUAACAUAUCUUAUGGUAAAGGUGAC
ensembl:miRNA predicted gene, 27313